UGUACAUACAUUCACAGGUGAAGCGUACAGUCUCUGUGCACACACAUCUUCCCAGAGGACAGUUCAUCCCCCUGAAAGUCCUCCUCUCUCUGAGCCAGAAUCUGCCCCCAAACACCCUCCACACCCUCCUCACCCUCGUCCUCACACGUACCAGCCGUUUUACAGCCUCCGUCACCACGCAAUGCACUUUGCCUCUAAAGCCGAGAAUCUGCCUCAGACUGCCGCUCCAGCGAGCGCUGCCAUCUCCCAGCCAGGGAGUCAGGGAGAGUGUGGGGAAGCCAUAGACGUUCCUAAGGUGUGGAUAGUCCGCUGCUGUGGACCCCCUGCCUUCAACUGCUACAACUAUUAAUAUCAGCUGUACAUCUAUUACAAUUAUUUAGGAGCUGCUCAACUUGAAAUGCUAUAAUUUACAUUAUCAGACCUCCCCAUUUCACUUUGUGGAUGGCUGUUCAACGUGAGUCUUUUCUGCUCGAGGUUUCUGCCUGUGUUGCUUAGUGCUGUGUUCAUGGUGGAUUCAUGUUGGGUCUUUGCAAUUAAUAGUAUAAAGAGUAAUGUCUAGACCUGCUCUUAUUGUAAAGUGUCUUGAGAUAACGUUUGUUA